UACAGAGGGUGCAAGCGUUAAUCGGAAUUACUGGGCGUAAAGCGUGCGCAGACGGUCUCGUAAGUCGGGUGUGAAAUCCCCGGGCUCAACCUGGGAAUUGCGAUGGAGACUGCAAGGCUAGAGUUUGGCAGAGGGGGGUAGAAUUCCACGUGUAGCAGUGAAAUGCGUAGAGAUGUGGAGGAACACCGAUGGCGAAGGCAGCCCCCUGGGUCAAAACUGACGCUCAUGCACGAAAGCGUGGGGAGCAAACAGG
rnacentral:rRNA from 1 species